rnacentral:rRNA from 1 species
AUUGAACGCUGGCGGCAGGCCUAACACAUGCAAGUCGAGCGGUAGCACAGAGAGCUUGCUCUCGGGUGACGAGCGGCGGACGGGUGAGUAAUGUCUGGGAAACUGCCUGAUGGAGGGGGAUAACUACUGGAAACGGUAGCUAAUACCGCAUAAUGUCGCAAGACCAAAGUGGGGGACCUUCGGGCCUCAUGCCAUCAGAUGUGCCCAGAUGGGAUUAGCUAGUAGGUGGGGUAACGGCUCACCUAGGCGACGAUCCCUAGCUGGUCUGAGAGGAUGACCAGCCACACUGGAACUGAGACACGGUCCAGACUCCUACGGGAGGCAGCAGUGGGGAAUAUUGCACAAUGGGCGCAAGCCUGAUGCAGCCAUGCCGCGUGUGUGAAGAAGGCCUUCGGGUUGUAAAGCACUUUCAGCGGGGAGGAAGGCGGUGAGGUUAAUAACCUCAUCGAUUGACGUUACCCGCAGGAGAAGCACCGGCUAACUCCGUGCCAGCCGCCGCUGUAA